GACGGGGGGUCCUAGCGUUGUUCGGAAUCAUUGGGCGUAAAGCGGGCGUAGGUGGCUAUGUAAGUCAGGAGUGAAAGCCCUGGGCUCAACCCAGGAAGUGCUUUUGAAACUGCGUAGCUUGAGUGUGGAAGAGGAUAGUGGAAUUCCUGGUGUAGUGGUGAAAUACGUAGAUAUCAGGAGGAACACCGGCGGCGAAGGCGGCUAUCUGGACGGUUACUGACGCUGAGACACGAAAGCGUGGGUAGCAAACAGG
rnacentral:rRNA from 1 species